GGGUUGUGAGGUUAAGCGACUAAGCGUACACGGUGGAUGCCCUGGCAGUCAGAGGCGAUGAAGGGCGUGCUAAUCUGCGAUAAGCGCCGGUAAGGUGAUAUGAACCGUUAUAACCGGCGAUACCCGAAUGGGGAAACCCAGUGUGACUCGUCACACUAUCAUUAACUGAAUCCAUAGGUUAAUGAGGCGAACCGGGGGAACUGAAACAUCUAAGUACCCCGAGGAAAAGAAAUCAACCGAGAUUCCCCCAGUAGCGGCGAGCGAACGGGGAGGAGCCCAGAGCCUGAAUCAGCAUGUGUGUUAGUGGAAGCGUCUGGAAAGGCGCGCGAUACAGGGUGACAGCCCCGUACACAAAAGCGCAUGUGCUGUGAGCUCGAUGAGUAGGGCGGGACACGUGGUAUCCUGUCUGAAUAUGGGGGGACCAUCCUCCAAGGCUAAAUACUCCUGACUGACCGAUAGUGAACCAGUACCGUGAGGGAAAGGCGAAAAGAACCCCGGCGAGGGGAGUGAAAAAGAACCUGAAACCGUGUACGUACAAGCAGUGGGAGCACCCUUUUGGGUGUGACUGCGUACCUUUUGUAUAAUGGGUCAGCGACUUAUAUUCUGUAGCAAGGUUAACCGAAUAGGGGAGCCGCAGGGAAACCGAGUCUUAAUUGGGCGUUAAGUUGCAGGGUAUAGACCCGAAACCCGGUGAUCUAGCCAUGGGCAGGUUGAAGGUUGGGUAACACUAACUGGAGGACCGAACCGACUAAUGUUGAAAAAUUAGCGGAUGACCUGUGGCU
rnacentral:rRNA from 1 species